GAACGCUGGCGGCGUACUUAACACAUGCAAGUCGAACGAGGAUCAUCCGUGUAGCAAUACAUUGGUGGUCCUAGUGGCGCACGGGUGAGUAACACGUGGGUGACCUGCCCUAGAGCUCGGGAUACCCCCUCGAAAGGGGGGCUAAUACCGGAUACGUUCCUCGGUCGAAAGAUCGGGGAGGAAAGGUGGCGCAAGCUGCCGCUCUUGGAGGGGCUCGCGGCCUAUCAGCUAGUUGGCGGGGUAACGGCCCACCAAGGCUAUGACGGGUAGCUGGUCUGAGAGGACGACCAGCCACACGGGGACUGAGACACGGCCCCGACUCCUACGGGAGGCAGCAGUGGGGCAUUUUCCGCAAUGGGCGAAAGCCUGACGGAGUGACGCCGCGUGUGGGACGAAGGCCUUCGGGUCGUAAACCACUGUCAGUGGGAAAGAUGGGUGUCGGGGCUAAUACCUCCGGCAUCUGACGGUACCUGCAGAGGAAGCCCCGGCCAACUCUGUGCCAGCAGCCGCGGUAAGACAGAGGGGGCAAGCGUUGCUCGGAAUUACUGGGCGUAAAGGGCGCGUAGGCGGGAUGGCAAGUCGGUCGUGAAAUCCCUCGGCUCAACCGAGGAACGUCGAUCGAUACUGCUGUUCUUGAGGAUUGCAGAGGAGACUGGAAUUCCCGGUGUAGCGGUGAAAUGUGUAGAGAUCGGGAGGAACACCGGUGGCGAAGGCGGGUCUCUGGGCAAUUCCUGACGCUGAGGCGCGAAAGCGUGGGGAGCAAACGGGAUUAGAUACCCCGGUAGUCCACGCUGUAAACGAUGACGACUAGGUGUGGGGGGGUUCAGUCCCUUCCGUGCCGCAGCUAACGCAUUAAGUCGUCCGCCUGGGGAGUACGGCCGCAAGGUUGAAACUUAAU
rnacentral:rRNA from 1 species